rnacentral:lncRNA from 1 species
UAUGUGAGACUACUAAAAUGUGGGAUAUAAAAGAUGGCACUGUGAAGGAAACAAUGCUUCUGCAUAUCACCACUGGAGCCCCUGCUAUUUGUCUGUAUGAGAAAGACCAGCUGCAUUUCCUUGCUAACUCAGCAUAUCAAGUUAUUUUGAAAGUCUUACGAUGAAGAUGCCAGAUGUAUCAGAUGGAAGCAUACUGGAUUCCCGAGUCUCCAGUUGGAAGAAAGCUUUCUGACACACACUGUAAUAUCAGUAAAAAUAAGCAACAAUCAUAUUAAGUCACUGAGAUCAGG